rfam:Lottia gigantea unplaced genomic scaffold LOTGIsca_743, whole genome shotgun sequence.
CCGACGAUAGCUCAGUUGGUAGAGCGGAGGACUGUAGUUGGUUAGACUUGUAGUAAUCCUUAGGUCGAUGGUUCAAAUCCGUCUCGUCGGA